rnacentral:rRNA from 1 species
AUGGAUGGAUCAACUAUAGGUUCGAGUUUAGCCAAUAUACGUACACGACUAAGGACAGAAGGAGCUGGAGGCCAACAAGGAAUAGAAGAAGCUGAUUCGACAAUGGAUUUGUCUUCCUCAGUCUCUUCGAACUUUUCCAAUCCUGCUAUUUUCCCCAACUUGAAGCAUGGCUUGCCGUUUCGAGGCUCGAUGCUACUCUUGGGAACAUUAUUGAUACAUCGACUUUCAAGCAUCUCAUCAGAUCCACCGGACCAGAAACUCAAUUCCGCACUGCUGCUGAGUCGUCAGACUUAUCCACCUCAGGGAUUCCGCCCUUUUUUUGCGGGUACUAAGAGUCCUCUCACUACCAACCAACAGACAUCAUCAUCUGGCUGGGUCUUGCCGGGGAGAUCAAAACAAGAAGUCACGCCUAGACGACGACGCCUGUCCUGGGCUGCAGUAAGUAGAUCGAGAGGUCGUUCCGCCCCUUGUCCCCAAAGAUGGGGCCUAGCUGGCGAGCGAUCCCAGUCCGCGGCAGAGAACAAGACAGCAAGCGAGCGUACCUUUGUUCGCUUCUUUUCCACCAAGCACAGAAGUUUAAGGAGAACUGUAGGUCGGUGGCUACCUAAGGAAACUCCGAUUCGAUCCGCCCCCCGGCUGGGAGGCAUCUACCUCAUCCCGAUCACAAGGAGAGGUUCACCAUGA